AUACGUAGGUGGCAAGCGUUGUCCGGAAUUAUUGGGCGUAAAGCGCGCGCAGGCGGUUCCUUAAGUCUGAUGUGAAAGCCCCCGGCUCAACCGGGGAGGGUCAUUGGAAACUGGGGAACUUGAGUGCAGAAGAGAAGAGUGGAAUUCCACGUGUAGCGGUGAAAUGCGUAGAGAUGUGGAGGAACACCAGUGGCGAAGGCGACUCUUUGGUCUGUAACUGACGCUGAGGCGCGAAAGCGUGGGGAGCAAACAGGAUUAGAUACCCUGGUAGUCCACGCCGUAAACGAUGAGUGCUAAGUGUUAGAGGGUUUCCGCCCUUUAGUGCUGCAGCAAACGCAAUAAGCACUCCGCCUGGGGAGUACGGCCGCAAGGCUGAA
rnacentral:rRNA from 1 species